rnacentral:rRNA from 1 species
UACGAGAGGCCCAAACGUUAUUCGGAAUUACUGGGCUUAAAGAGUUCGUAGGCGGCGCAGAAAGUAGGGUGUGAAAGCCCUCGGCUCAACCGAGGAAUUGCGCUCUAAACUACUGUGCUUGAGGGACCUAGAGGUGAGCGGAACUGAUGGUGGAGCGGUGAAAUGCGUUGAUAUCAUCAGGAACACCGGAGGCGAAGGCGGCUCACUGGGUUAACACUGACGCUCAUGCACGAAAGCGUGGGGAGCAAACAGG